rnacentral:rRNA from 1 species
UACGUAGGGUGCAAGCGUUAAUCGGAAUUACUGGGCGUAAAGCGUGCGCAGGCGGUUUUGUAAGUCAGAUGUGAAAUCCCCGGGCUUAACCUGGGAAUGGCAUUUGGGACUGCAAGGCUGGAGUUUGGCAGAGGAGACUGGAAUUCCUGGUGUAGCAGUGAAAUGCGUAGAUAUCAGGAGGAAUACCGAUGGCGAAGGCAGGUCUCUGGGCUAUAACUGACGCUCAUGCACGAAAGCGUGGGGAGCAAACAGG